GGGACACGCGUCAUAAAUUCACGUUUCUCUUCUCUCUCUCGACGGAUGCUCUUCUCUCCUUAUCUCUUGACUCCUCGACGAAACCGACUGUCUCUGGUCAUCUCUCCUCGAAUCUUGUCUCUGUUUGAUCGGGCUCGGAUCCGCUUGAUGCAGGUCGGGACUGAUUGGCUGACACAACCACAUAGGUGCUUUUGCCUUAUUGGUUUGUAAGCAGGAAUUGGCUCCCGCCUUGCAUCAACUGAAUCGGAGCCUCCAAUGGUGAAACGAGUCCAAUUAGAUCUGGAGAACAGUUUGAUUCAAGAUCUAGGGUUUGGAUUCUUACAAUCCUCGUAUGAUUUGAUUUCUAAAGGUAGAGAACUAGGAUAAAAGAAAAAACGGUUUGACAAAUCCACUGUAUGAUAUGAUGAAGAUAGAGAUUACAUGAGCAAUCUCUUGUAUUGGUUUUCUCUAAGAAGGUUCAUCUAUGUUUUGAUUUAGCUUCUUGAUGAAAUCAAUGUUUAUCUCUAGUCUUAUUGUAGUAGAAACGCAGGUUUAAAGAUGUCCACUUCCAUCUCUUUAUUUCAUGACAGGCAUCAUCGGAGAUGGGUUGCAGGGAAACUGGAUCCUGACUUUGCAGGAAAGGAACUUGACUUAGUCACAUAGGCCGUGGGCACUACAAGCAUUAGGUGGAUGGGAGAAUGAGCUUGAUUACUGCCAAGAGCUCCUUGAAGCUGACGUCUUUAACAACUCCUUAUGGAAUCAGCAAGCGCGAAAGGUAUCUUAGCACACAUUGUGAGAACCACAUAUUAGACCAAUCAACUCUGUCUUUCCUCAAUCUUAAUUGCUCCCAUGUGUUUGUGGUUUUCUUCUCUCAUCAAGAACACGAGAAUCUUAACACGUUAUCAGCACGAUAGCCUCCAAACCACGAGCUCAACUUGAUCGAGAAAAACCCUAAAAACCCUAAUCCUUGACGAGACUUCAAACCGACGUAUCUCCAAAACGGUGAAGAAGCAGAAGACGAGCCACCUAUAAAACCGAAGCUCUUGAAGAGGAGAAUCCAGCGCUGCUGACCUCACCUCAUUCCGUGAUCAGACGCGCUCUCACCGCUAGUUACAAGCCGCGCCGUCAAUUGCUUAAAAACCCUAAUUCCGACGCAACUUCAAAUCGAUCGUUCUCUCAAACCGUAACGACCCAGACAACGUACCACAUACCAAUUUGAAGAUCUUGACAAGGAGAAUUCAGUGCCGCAAACCUCGCGACAAUCCGAUCAUAGACGCGUCCUCACGCUCAGCUUCAAUAUGCGCCGUCAAUUGAUCUAAAACCCUAAGCCGCAAAACCCUAAUCUCUUUCAUUGUUUUGUUAUGUGAUUUAUGUUUGAUCUUUAACCUAACUUGCUUUUACUCUUGUGUUUAAGGUAUUUAAGGCACGAGUUGUUCUUGCUAAACACAAGACAUAGAUUGAUAUCCUAGACCAAGAGCUUCCCUGAUUCACAACCAGCUCUUGACCUAAACCCAAAGCUAAGAUAUCAUCUCUCUAGCUUAAAGUUUCAUUCAAACGAUUUGUAUUGAUCUCAUACUAACUCGUUUUGACUCUUGUGUUUAAGGUUUAACCAAGAUCAAACUCCUGAUUCAUAAUACCAUUCAACCCAAUAGGAGGUUAAGGUUAUGUUUUAUAACCCAUACAAUGCUAAGAUCUCAAACAGGUUAUGCAUUCACGUUUUGGACAAGGAUGGAGAGUCCAAAGUACUUAGUUUACAUCAGUUUACACGUGAUGGUACUGCCUUACCUUUGCGGUCCAUGAGUUGCAAAGACAGACGAGUUACAAGUAGUACAAGUUCGAUUAGAAGAUUUACACGAUGGAAGGUUAUGCCUUUGCAACAAGAUGGUACUACUUAUCUACUUCAACUUGGCGGCCAUGAAGCUUCUUCAUCAGAGUUGGACGUGCCAAAUUGAAAGACACAUAUGGAGGUACAAAUCAGGGGGAGUGAUACAUGUUGUACUCUUUUUCCUAUCCAUGGCUUCCCUUUUUACCACAUUGGGUUUUGGGUUUACCAUGGAAAGGUUUUAAUGAGGCAACACCAAUUUAUUGGUAAAGUGUAUCACGAGCUCUAUAAGGAUUUGACAUCAGGGGGAGUGUUGUAAACCGAAUGGUUUAAUGGAUGUCUAAAUCCAAGUUUAUCCUUAUGAACAUCCCACAUCGCCUAUAUCCCUCUUAGGGUCGACCAUAUACUUUGUAUAUAUAUGUAUCUCCUCCUUAUUGUUAAAGAUAGACAAUACACAUUA